AAGCUUUGUUACCUGUGACUUAUAGCUGCAGUGUUGUAGAGGAGUGAGCAGUAGCAUCUGGAGUUGUGGUUUGAGUGAAGACCUUGCAGUUGACCAUGAGUCUUGGUUUGAUGUUUAGGCUACCUUGGAUUUGCCUUUUCUUCUUGACUGAUGUAGGCCUAUGCAGUCCUCAAGUUCAAGAAAACCUAAAUUCCCAUCAGGAGAAACUCAUUCCUGUGUGGACUUUCGGUCCGGCUCAGGAGGAUCAGAAGUCCAAGACGGUUGAGGCUCCAGCCCAAGAGCGUCCAGCAUGGAUUCAUACUGCCUCAACAUGGAUCGAGAUGCCACCAGCUCCAGUGAGCCAGGAAGUUCAGGAACCCAAGGUGCCUGAAGCUCCAGCCCAAGAGCCCCCAGCAUGGGCCCAGAUGCGCCCAACUCGGAUCAUGCCUACAGCUCCAGUGACCCA